GAUGAACGCUGGCGGCGUGCCUAAUACAUGCAAGUCGAGCGAACAGACGAGGAGCUUGCUCCUCUGACGUUAGCGGCGGACGGGUGAGUAACACGUGGAUAACCUACCUAUAAGACUGGGAUAACUUCGGGAAACCGGAGCUAAUACCGGAUAAUAUAUUGAACCGCAUGGUUCAAUAGUGAAAGACGGUUUUGCUGUCACUUAUAGAUGGAUCCGCGCCGCAUUAGCUAGUUGGUAAGGUAACGGCUUACCAAGGCAACGAUGCGUAGCCGACCUGAGAGGGUGAUCGGCCACACGGGAGCUGAGACACGGUCCAGACUCCUGCGGGAGGCAGCAGUAGGGAAUCUGCCGCAAUGGGCGAAAGCCUGACGGAGCAACGCCGCGUGAGUGAUGAAGGUCUUCGGAUCGUAAAACUCUGUUAUUAGGGAAGAACAAAUGUGUAAGUAACUAUGCACGUCUUGACGGUACCUAAUCAGAAAGCCACGGCUAACUACGUG
rnacentral:rRNA from 1 species